AUCCCAUGGUGAGGGAAUUUACGUAGUAGCUUUUUGAAUCUUUCCUAUGCCUUGUAUAAGGACUUAUAAUCCAUCUGUUGAAAAGUGGUGAUCUCAUUUCGCAACUU
rfam:Gossypium hirsutum cultivar TM-1 chromosome 15, whole genome shotgun sequence